rnacentral:lncRNA from 1 species
CUUGUUUGUAGGUCACUGGUCUCAGGGAGCUGAAAGAUCUAGUAAAGGGGAGUUUGACUGCAGUCAUCAGAGGGAAAAUCUCAGGGGUUUCAGGACUCAAGGUGUGUAUAUCCUCUCUGCUGUGAUUGGGACACUAUACUGUCC